rnacentral:rRNA from 1 species
GAUGAACGCUGGCGGCGUGCCUAAUACAUGCAAGUCGAGCGAACAGACGAGGAGCUUGCUCCUCUGACGUUAGCGGCGGACGGGUGAGUAACACGUGGAUAACCUACCUAUAAGACUGGGAUAACUUCGGGAAACCGGAGCUAAUACCGGAUAAUAUAUUGAACCGCAUGGUUCAAUAGUGAAAGACGGUUUUGCUGUCACUUAUAGAUGGAUCCGCGCCGCAUUAGCUAGUUGGUAAGGUAACGGCUUACCAAGGCAACGAUGCGUAGCCGACCUGAGAGGGUGAUCGGCCACACUGGAACUGAGACACGGUCCAGACUCCUACGGGAGGCAGCAGUAGGGAAUCUUCCGCAAUGGGCGAAAGCCUGACGGAGCAACGCCGCGUGAGUGAUGAAGGUCUUCGGAUCGUAAAACUCUGUUAUUAGGGAAGAACAAAUGUGUAAGUAACUAUGCACGUCUUGACGGUACCUAAUCAGAAAGCCACGGCUAACUACAU